GUAUCGCGCGUCAUUUCUUCUCCCCGAUUCCACCUCGACUGAGACUGCCCAUUCCGCCGUCGUCACCAUGGAUCAUCUCCUAUGCCGUCACCUCCGCUGCGUCUCCUCUACCAGCAUGGCAACACCUCCGCCUCCGCAUGGUGAGUCUCAAACCUCCUCCUCCAUCCGCACCUCCCUGCAUCUGCUAGGGUUUCUUCUUCUCUCUGUUCCACUCACUGGCCCUUGUUAGAUCCAGAUUUGGACAGCAACCAGUUGUUUGUGUGUUUACUUGGAGGAACAAAGCAGCUGCAUGUCGAGAGAGCAAGGGAGGCGCGUUUUAGCGGUGGUGCUCAGCGGUGAGCAGGUGAAGCGGCAGCGUGGCAAAGCAGACUGUUGUUGUUGUUGCUAACUGAACUCGAGUUCAGUCAUAAUCUCACUCAGUUAGCUCUCUGAUCUUUUGAUUUCAUGUGUAAAUGAUUUAGUCAGCCUUAGCAAAAGUUAUUUGUGGUCCAGUGAGCCACUAUAUUGGUUUAAGGAUCAAAAUUGAAUUAUCAACUGUUUGUUAUAAGAUAUAAAGGUCCUAAGGUUUGGUAAAUUUGGUAUAGAAUUAAGAAUUCAAGAUUUAGCUUCCGAGUUAGCAAACUGUUGUCUCUUGGCAAAUUUGAAGGGCUUCAAAACUAUUGAUCCUGAUAUGUUAGUUAACAUGAACAAGGCCAUUUGAUAUACCAAGAUUGAUACUAUAGAUUUGUUCAAAAUUUCCAGAAAUGUUAUUCCUAAAACUGCUUUCACACUUAGCUUCCAAACUGAAUGUCAAAUUUGCUUUUAGAGUUGCAAGUAUAGGGUUCAUACUUGCAGUUUGUCAGUCAAAAUUUAACUCUGCCAUAUAAAAUUUCUUCCAAUCCUAUAUGCAUGUGGUCCGUACAACCUUAAGCAAAACUGCUCUAUUCCUGAUCUGUAUCUCUACCUUGUUAAAGCACAUAUAUGAAUUAGUCUUUGAACUGGUAGAUCAAGGAGCUCAAAGGUUACUUGCUAAAAAAUAUUUUUAGAUAUGAACUUCAUAGUUCAGAGCUAAGUUGCAGAGAUAUAUCAAACAACUUUCUUUAGCAUUU
rnacentral:lncRNA from 1 species